rnacentral:rRNA from 1 species
CAGGGAAACUUCUGCUAAUCCCGGAUGAGCCGAAAGGAAAAUGAUUUUUCGCCGGGAGAUGAGCUCGCGUCUGAUUAGCUAGUUGGUGAGGUAAAGGCUCACCAAGGCAACAAUCAGUAGGUGGUCUGAGAGGAUGAUCAGCCACUGUGGGACUGAGACACGGCCCAGACUCCUCCGGGAGGCAGCAGUGGGGAAUUUUCCGCAAUGGGCGCAAGCCUGACGGAGAAAGACCGCGUGGGGGAGGAAGGCUCUUGGGUUGUAAACCCCUUUUCUCAAGGAAAAACACAAUGACGGUACUUGAGGAAUAACCCUCGGCUAACUCCGUGCCAGCACCCGCGGUUAUACGGAGGAGGCGAGCGUUAUCCGGAAUGAUUGGGCGUAAAGCGCCCGUAGGUGGCUGUUCAAGUCUGCUGUCAAAGACAGUAGCUCAACUACU